GCCCAUAUAGUGUAGUACGGUUAGCAUUAGGGACUGUCACUCCUUCGACCCGGGUUCAACUCCCGGUGUGGGCGCCA
rnacentral:tRNA from 1 species